AUUGAACGCUGGCGGCAGGCCUAACACAUGCAAGUCGAACGAGUGGCGGACGGGUGAGUAAUGUCUGGGAAACUGCCUGAUGGAGGGGGAUAACGACUGGAAACGGUAGCUAAUACCGCAUACCAUCGGAUGUGCCCAGAUGGGAUUAGCUAGUAGGUGGGGUAAAGGCUCACCGAGGCGACGAUCCCUAGCUGGCCUGAGAGGAUGACCGGCCACACUGGAACUGAGACACGGUCCAGACUCCUACGGGAGGCAGCAGUGGGGAAUCUUGCGCAAUGGGCGCAAGCCUGAUGCAGCAAUGCCGCGUGUAUGAAGAAGGCCUUCGGGUUGUAAAGUACUUUCAGCGGGGAGGCGUUACCCGAAGAAGAAGCAACGGCUAACUACGUGCCAGCAGCCGCGGUAAUAC
rnacentral:rRNA from 1 species